UAUUUCGGAAGAUGAGUGAACGUCUAGUAUCAAGUUUACAAUUCUUGACUAGAUUUUCACUUAUCCUCUGCGGUAGU
rnacentral:pre_miRNA from 1 species